rnacentral:rRNA from 1 species
AUUGAACGCUGGCGGCAGGCCUAACACAUGCAAGUCGAACGAGUGGCGGACGGGUGAGUAAUGUCUGGGACACUGCCUGAAGGAGGGGGAUAACUACUGGAAACGGUAGCUAAUACCGCAUACCAUCGGAUGUGCCCAUGUGGGAUUAGCUAGUAGGUGGGGUAAAGGCUUACCUAGGCGACGAUCCCUAGCUGGUCUGAGAGGAUGACCAGCCACGCUGGAACUGAGCCACGGUCCAGACUCCGACGGGAGGCAGCAGUGGGGAAUAUUGCACAAUGGGCGAAAGCCUGAUGCAGCCAUGCCGCUUGUAUGAAGAAGGCCUUCGGGUUGUAAAGUACUUUCAGCGGGGAGGCGUUACCCGCAGAAGAAGCCCCGGCUAACUCCGUGCCAGCAGCCGCGGUAAUUC